rnacentral:tRNA from 1 species
GGGCCAGUAGCUCAAUAGGUUAGAGCAGCGGACUCAUAAUCCGUAGGUCGCGGGUUCGAACCCCGCCUGGCCCACC